GACGAACGCUGGCGGCGUGCUUAAAAAAGGGAAGUAGAAUGGAAAGGCCCUGCUUUUGUGGGGUGCUCGAGUGGCGAACGGGUGAGUAACACGUUAGUAACCUGCCCUUGACUUUGGGAUAACUUCAGGAAACUGGGGCUAAUACCGGAUAGGAGCUCCUUCUGCAUGGUGGGGGUUGGAAAGUUUCGGCGGUUGGGGAUGGACUCGCGGCUUAUCAGCUUGUUGUUGGGGUAGUGGCUUACCAAGGCUUUGACGGUUAGCCGGCCUGAGAGGGUGACCGGACAAAUUGGGACUGAGAUACGGCCCAGACUCCUACGGGAGGCAGCAGUGGGGAAUAUUGAACAAUGGGCGGAAGCCUGAUGCAGCAACGCCGAGUGCGGGAUGACGGCCUUCGGGUUGUAAACCGCUUUCGCCUGUGACGAAGCGUGAGUGACGGUAAUGGGUAAAGAAGCACCGGCAAACUACGUA
rnacentral:rRNA from 1 species